CGGACGCCGCGGCGUGCCAGCCGGACGGCGCGAAACUCAAGGCGGCGGCGACGGUGACGUCAGCGCGUAGCUGCCUCGUCGACGUGCGUUCGGGGUGAACCGCGCCCACGGCAUGGCCGUCGGCGACCUCUCCUUCGUCCGCUGGAUCGGAAGCGCCACCAGCCACCACUCAACCAGACCUUGCCAGAGAGACUGCUGAGAACGGAGCUUCCAAGCGGACAAGGAAAUGCCUGCUCUGCUCUUCCCAGCUCCGCACCACCACUGGAGAAGACAUUGUUUGACAGACGAUGCUUACAUAUGGAGUCGGUUUCUCCCCUGUAUUUCCGUCUUGAUCGGUGCUUGUUUGCUUUAUCCGUGGAAGAUUUGCCUUGAUGUUCACUGUGAUGUAUGUAUGUUUCCUAGUUUCUGUAAGUAUGAAUAAGAUCGGGUCAUGAGAGCCACGCAAUGUCUAUACUUUUCUCUUUCUUUCUUUUCUUGUGGGGAUACAUUUCUCGUUACAAUGUGUGUAAGGAUGGUAUGGGCAUUUGAUUGCCCUGUUGAUAUAUUACUACCCAAAUA